rnacentral:rRNA from 1 species
GACGAACGCUGGCGGCGUGCUUAACACAUGCAAGUCGAACGGAAAGGCCCUGCUUUUGUGGGGUGCUCGAGUGGCGAACGGGUGAGUAACACGUGAGUAACCUGCCCUUGACUUUGGGAUAACUUCAGGAAACUGGGGCUAAUACCGGAUAGGAGCUCCUGCUGCAUGGUGGGGGUUGGAAAGUUUCGGCGGUUGGGGAUGGACUCGCGGCUUAUCAGCUUGUUGGUGGGGUAGUGGCUUACCAAGGCUUUGACGGGUAGCCGGCCUGAGAGGGUGACCGGCCACAUUGGGACUGAGAUACGGCCCAGACUCCUACGGGAGGCAGAAGUGGGGAAUAGUGCACAAUGGGCGGAAGCCUGAUGCAGCAACGCCGCGUGCGGGAUGACGUCCUUCGGGUUGUAAACCGCUUUCGCCUGUGACGAAGCGUGAGUGGCGGUAAUGGGUAAAGAAGCACCGGCUAACUACGUG